GGCUUUAUAGUAUAAAUAAAAACGUUGGAUUGCAAAUCUGAAGAUGUGAGUGUCACUGGAGCUU
rnacentral:tRNA from 1 species